CCGUUGUUUGUCUUUGGUCCUGCCAGGAUUCCGGAGGCUAAUCGUAAUCUAAAUCCUGAUAAAUACACGCGAAGCUUUGGGAUAUUGUGAAUUUUCGUUCUGUGUCAUUUUAUUUCUUUUAAAGUUGUUAUCUCUUUUUAGAAUAUGGUGGAUGUAUAUGAGGAUGCCCAGUUGGGGUUUGAGUCUGAUGGAGAGGAAUUAUCAGAUGGUGAGGUUUGCGGAAGCCUGGAUUGAAUAUUCCUCAGUGCGAACCAAAGAAGGCAAUGAACAAUGUGGAGGGUCUGAAGAAAUGCAUUUCUGAAUUUAACAAGACUCUACCAUGGGUUGAAAGGCUGGACCAAUUGCCCAGCUGUUGACAUUGUUGCAAAAGCAGAGGGCAGACAGCAGCAUACAAAUGAAGUCAUCAAUGCUGAGGACGUCUAGUCCUAAUGCAAAGAAGAAAUACAAGGAUAAGAAGUUUGGCUUCGGGGGCAAAAAGAAGGACAACAAAUGGAACACAAAAGAGAGCUACAACGACGUGUCAGGGUUCAAGGCAAGAGUGGCACAUGGGAAAGACGGGAAAAAAUUUGGCAAAGGAAGAAAAUCAAACAAGCAUCCAGGGAAGGAGGCACGGAGGAAAAUGAAGGCAUACAAAUGAGCUGUAUCAUCCCAUCAACACCUUUCACUUAAAUGAUUGUGCCAUUUAAAAAUAAUUUUCUCUUUCCUGUUAUCUGGGUCUCUGCAAUGUUACGGAUCCAUGUUCUUUUUUUCCUUGACCAACACUAUUAAAGUUUGUCACCAUUAGAUGACAUCUCUAUGUGAAUCGUGGCACUGCAAUCAGAAAUAUGCCAUGAACAAUGACUAAAUAUUCUGCUUUGUAAUUAUAAUUAUUUUUUUUACUUGAAGAUACUUAAAAAUAUUGAUCAUAAAAAUUCUUAAAAUAAAGGGAUAGUUCACGUAAAAUGAAAAUGAUGUCAUUGUUGUAUGGAAUGUGUACGAUCUGGGACUAUUUGUACACUUUCCCUGUAUUUCUUGUUGCAAGCAAACCAUGCUGCACUGAAUAAACAAAUCAUAA